rnacentral:misc_RNA from 1 species
UCCGUGUUCACCACGGCAGUCUCUUUAGAGAGCCCAACUGAAUGCUGGCAACUAAAGACAAGGGUUGCGCUCGUUGCGGGACUUAACCCAACAUGUCACCACACGAGCUGACGACAGCCAUGCAGCACCUGUCACUUGGUCGUAUUGCUACGAAGACCGUAUCUCUACGGCUGUCCAAGGAUGUCAAACCCAGGUAAGGUUCUUCGCGUUGCUUCGAAUUAAACCACAUGAUCCACCGCUUGUGCGGGCCCCCGUCAAUUCCUUUGAGUUUUAGUCUUGCGACCGUACUUCCCAGGCGGGGCACUUAUCGCGUUAGCUCAGACUCGGCAGGGGUCAAGACCCGCCAAAUCGAGUGCCCAUCGUUUACAGCGUGGACUAC